UACAUGGGGUGCAAACGUUGCUCGGAAUCAUUGGGCGUAAAGCGCGCGUAGGCGGUUACUUAAGUCGAAUGUGAAAGCCCUCGGCUUAACCGAGGAAGUGCAUCCGAAACUGAGUAGCUAGAGUACGAAAGAGGGUCGCGGAAUUCCUGGUGUAGCGGUGAAAUGCGCAGAUAUCAGGAGGAACACCGGUGGCGAAGGCGGUUCUCUGGGCCUGUACUGACGCUGAGGAACGAAAGCGUGGGGAGCGAACAGG
rnacentral:rRNA from 1 species